UACGAAGGGGGCGAGCGUUGUUCGGAUUUACUGGGCGUAAAGGGCGCGCAGGCGGCUCAUUUUGUCAGGCGUGAAAGCCCCGGGCUUAACCUAGGAACUGCGUUUGAUACGGAUGGGCUAGAGUUCGGGAGAGGAGAGUGGAAUUCCCAGUGUAGAGGUGAAAUUCGUAGAUAUUGGGAAGAACACCGGUGGCGAAGGCGGCUCUCUGGACCGAUACUGACGCUGAGGCGCGAAAGCGUGGGGAGCAAACAGG
rnacentral:rRNA from 1 species